rnacentral:antisense_RNA from 1 species
UGUAGGAGCUGCCGCAGGCUGCGAUCUUUUGAUUUUGCUUUUUCAAGAUCAAGAUCAAAAGAUCGCAGCCUGCGGCAGCUCCCACA